rnacentral:tRNA from 1 species
GCCUCGUUAUAUCAGUCGGUAGAUAGUGUGACUCUUACGCCAAUCGCAAGCAGUAGCCGAUUGAUCACACAGUCAUGGGUUCGAGCCCCAUACGAGGCU